GGGACACGUGGUAUCCUGUCUGAAUAUGGGGGGACCAUCCUCCAAGGCUAAAUACUCCUGACUGACCGAUAGUGAACCAGUACCGUGAGGGAAAGGCGAAAAGAACCCCGGCGAGGGGAGUGAAAAAGAACCUGAAACCGUGUACGUACAAGCAGUGGGAGCACCCUUUGGGGUGUGACUGCGUACCUUUUGUAUAAUGGGUCAGCGACUUAUAUUCUGUAGCAAG
rnacentral:rRNA from 2 species